rnacentral:rRNA from 1 species
ACACAUGCAAGUCGAGGGGGAAGCCACUUUCGGGUGGUGGAGACCGGCGCACGGGUGAGUAACGCGUGGGAAUUUACCUUGGAGUGGGGAAUAACCGCUGGAAACGGCGGCUAAUACCGCAUACGCCCUUAUGGGGAAAGCUUUAGCGCUCUGGGAUGAGCCCGCGUUAGAUUAGGUAGUUGGUGGGGUAAAGGCCUACCAAGCCGACGAUCUAUAGCUGGUCUGAGAGGAUGAUCAGCCACACUGGGACUGAGACACGGCCCAGACUCCUACGGGAGGCAGCAGUGGGAAUAUUGGACAAUGGGGGCAACCCUGAUCCAGCCAUGCCGCGUGCGUGAAGAAGGCCUUAGGGUUGUAAAGCGCUUUCACUGGUGAAGAUGAUGACGGUAGCCAGAGAAGAAGCCCCGGCUAACUCCGUGCCAGCAGCCGCGGUAAUACGGAGGGGGCAAGCGUUGUUCGGAAUUACUGGGCGUAAAGGGCGCGUAGGCGGGAUGUCAAGUUAGGGGUGAAGGGCCUGNGCUCAACCUAGGAACUGCCUCUAAAACUGGCAAUCU